GCCUUUGUGGCCUUAUGGAAAAGGCAACGGCCUUCAAGCCGGGAAAUACGAGUUCGAGUCUCGCCAGAGGUA
rfam:Daphnia pulex DAPPTscaffold_147_Cont5769, whole genome shotgun sequence.